rnacentral:rRNA from 1 species
GGACGAACGCUGGCGGCGUGCUUAACACAUGCAAGUCGAACGGUGAAGCCCAGCUUGCUGGGUGGAUCAGUGGCGAACGGGUGAGUAACACGUGAGUAACCUGCCCCAGACUCCGGGAUAAGCCUUGGAAACGAGGUCUAAUACUGGAUAUGAGAUGCCCCUGCAUGGGGAGUGUCUGGAAAGAUUUAUCGGUCUGGGAUGGACUCGCGGCCUAUCAGCUUGUUGGUGGGGUAAUGGCCUACCAAGGCGACGACGGGUAGCCGGCCUGAGAGGGCGACCGGCCACACUGGGACUGAGACACGGCCCAGACUCCUACGGGAGGCAGCAGUGGGGAAUAUUGCACAAUGGGCGAAAGCCUGAUGCAGCGACGCCGCGUGAGGGAUGAAGGCCUUCGGGUUGUAAACCUCUUUCAGCAGGGAAGAAGCGCAAGUGACGGUACCUGCAGAAGAAGCGCCGGCUAACUACGUGCCAGCAGCCGCGGUAAUACGUAGGGCGCAAGCGUUGUCCGGAAUUAUUGGGCGUAAAGAGCUCGUAGGCGGUUUGUCGCGUCUGGUGUGAAAACUCAAGGCUCAACCUUGAGCUUGCAUCGGGUACGGGCAGACUAGAGUGCGGUAGGGGUGACUGGAAUUCCUGGUGUAGCGGUGGAAUGCGCAGAUAUCAGGAGGAACACCGAUGGCGAAGGCAGGUCACUGGGCCGCAACUGACGCUGAGGAGCGAAAGCAUGGGGAGCGAACAGGAUUAGAUACCCUGGUAGUCCAUGCCGU